rnacentral:tRNA from 1 species
UCCCUGGUGGUCUAGUGGCUAGGAUUCGGCGCUUUCACCGCCGUGGCCAGGGUUCGAUUCCUGGUCAGGGAA